GAGAAAAAGAUCCAUCAAAAGACACUACAUUCACAUCUCACAACUCCAUACACUUACACUUUCAUUCCUUGGCCGAGAGAACACAAUCCACCCAUCCACCCUUCACCAUAACUCACCUAUAUCCAUCCACCACCAUAAUUUACCACUCAUCCAUCAAACCACACCUUGUGCCGCAACAAAGAGAAGAAGGAGGACCCAUUGGACGUGCUUGCCAUUCAAGUUGGAUUGUUGGAGCGUUUUUAGGUGUUUUCAUUCUUUUGUUUUCAAUGUCUAAAUUUGUUUAUCUUUGCUUUGUGAGUAUGAGGAACUAAACCCCCCUUAGCUAGGGGGGAAUUCGAAACCAUGUUCAUGCUUGCAAUAUGAUUUGAUUACCUUCAGUUGUGAUUUCAUAAGUUGUGAAUUCAAUUUGUUUAACUGCUUGAUUGAUAACUUAUUCGUGUAUGUUUAUUAAGAGUGCACACUUAGUUUGCAUGCAUGAAUAUGAUGCUAGAGUAUAAGGGAGUUUCACCUAAUAGUUACAAACUUAUAUUCACAAAUAGUGGAUGUCGCUUAUAAACGAUCGCGUUAAAUAAAUUCUUGGCAGGAGUUUCAUGCUCAUCAUAGUAAUGAAUGCCUCGUCAAUACUUAUAGUUUUCAUAAUGCUUAAUGAUCUUUGAUUGUAUCUUUAUUGUGUUGUUCACGUAAAGAACUUUUGAAGAAUGCUUGAAUUGUUGUAUGCGUUUUCCCAUCCAAUUCAAUAACUUAAGGAGAACUUGAAGGUUAAUUUAAGCGGACUUAAUUAACCUGGGGUGUUGAGUUUCAUGAUUGAUCGAAAGAACAACUGAAAAUUUGUUUAUGUGCAAGUAUGUCAUGUGUGGAGAAGAACCUCCUAGCUAGCCUUACAUCCAUUCAAUUUACUCAAAUUCGUGCAGAUUUCAUUAGUUCUUUAAUUUACUUGUUUGUUUUCAAAUUCAUCAAAACCAAAACCCCAUUUACUUUAAAGUGUUUUAUUAGUCAAAAUCUGUUUUGAUUUGUGUUUUUAGGUGUCCCAAAAGUGUGUUAGAGUCCAAAUCUGCCCAGUUUGUGUUUUUAGGCAAAUUUAAGCGUUUUUAGCUUGUUUUGAGUCCUUUGAGUUUGUUUUAAGUUCUUUGAGUCUAGUUUAGUGUUUUUAACUUUGUUUAUAUGUUUUUAAGUCAGUUUAGAGGUUUUAGCAAGCCCUCAUAAUCCCCGGUUUAGAACGAUCCCUACUUGCAUUUAUACUACAAUUUGACAAGAAGAGGGUUUAAUUUGUGUGUUAAGUUAAUUUUCGCAUCAAAUUUUUGGCGCCGUUGCCGGGGAUUAGCAACUUUGCUAAUCCCCCGUUGUUUCUUUUUCAUGUCUUUUGUUUUAGUCACUGACUUUGUUUAUAUUUGUGUCUUUUAUUUUUACUUAUGAUAUUUGAUUUAGUUUUGUUUCCUUGAUUUCAGGUCCUAGAGAAGUAAGACAUGGAUUUUGCUACCAUUCAAGCUCAAUUGGCGAAACUUACUUCUCAAUUGUCACAAUAUGCCAAAAGGACCACAAUGCAAAGUGUCCCUACAGAAGGUAUGUCCUAUGGGCAAGGAUAUCCAACUCAUCAAUGUUCUCAAUUCGCUGCGAAUGAAGAUGCUUGAGGUUAUCAAGGCCAUAGCCAAUCAUGGGACAACAUAUUUUCCAAUGCUUACAAUUCGGAUUGGAGAGAUUAUACAGAUUACAUGUGGGGAGAACCUCAACAAUUCCAACAAGAUGGGUAUUGGCAGCAAGAAGAGGAAUUCUAUUCAAGACCUAUGCAGCCACCAUAACAAUCUGCCCAAUUCAAUUCAGGUACGUCUUUGGAUAAUGAUAUGUUUAAUAAGUUACUCACCUCUUUGAACUAGAAAAUGGAAACAAAGAGAUGCAAAAUCAAGCCAAUAAGACGGGAGAAUUGGAAAAGCAAGUUGGGCAGAUUAUGGAGUUCAUGGCACAAAUUCAAGAGCAAAGUGAACUCUCCAACUCAACUAUUGAAAAUUUGAAGGAAGAUUUUGAAAUCCAUGAUGCUAUCACUUUGGGAAGUGCUAUGGAGGUUGGAGGUGAACCCAAGACAUCCAAACCAAGCCAAAACAUGGAUGAACAGCUGCUGCUCGAAGAAUAAGAGAAUAACAAGGCCACGGCAAGGGAAGAACCACCCUUGCCGCAACCCCAUAUGCCAUCUAUGUCGUCCACUACAACCAAGGUAAACCUACAUUCAAUUUGUCCUCACCCCGUUUCACCAAAUGUCCUUAUUCCUUGCAGGAUCAUGCAAUCCAAGGAAGAAAAAGGUGAGAAAGGCAUAUUCGAAACCUUUCCAAAGAAUCAAGAGCAAGAAGCGGAUGGGGAAUGUCUAGAAUUCAUCAAAGAAAAUACACUUGAGAUGAAAAUUCCCAAAGAAGUUGGAUUUAUGACACGGGACAAGUCAUAGCUCUCAAAACACCAAAUCUGACCAAGUCCUAUAUCCCUGCAACCUUCAAAGAUGUGGUGUUCGUAAUUGAGUUUAUGUUGGAGCAAGCAAGUAAGCCAUCUUCUCCAAUUUCGAUUUUAUUAUAUACUAACUUGCUGAUUUUGAUGAUUCAGGCACCUACACUAGAAUUUAAACCAUUUCCAGAUCACGUCAAGUAUCGCCUUCCAUUCAAGGAUCAAUUCCAUGCUAUAGGCCCUAUCCAAGUUUAGAAGGAAGUUUCGUCCGGCUGGAAGACGUUAAAGCAAGCGCUUCUUGGGAGGCAACCCAUGUAUUCAAAUAAGGAAGAUUUUUGAAUUGCUCCACAAUCAGUUUUGCGUUUCUAAAAACCUUCCCUUUUCUGUAGUUUUAUUUUGUCAUGAUUGUCAUUUUUAUUUGUUGCUUGUUUAAUUGUUUUUGGUGUGGGUUUAUUUUUGAAAUACUGACAGUUAUGCAAGGUAUUUUUAUAUUCAUAAAAAAAAAGGAACAUUAAGCAAAAAAAAAGCUACAAGAGGGAGCCUUCACAAAGGCUGCUUAGGAGAAGUCUCAGUAGUCGGCGGAGCCUCAACAGUCGGCGGAGCCCCAGAAGAAGGAAGCAUCAGAGGUUGAUGGUACAACCCCAGAAGAUGAAGGCAAAUGUUGUUGGAACAAACCCACAAACCUCUGAUGAUCAAGUAAAAUCUGACCAUCAGAUUCCUGCAUCUGGUCAAUCUUCCUCUUCAUGUUUGUAACAUAAUUAUGUGCAAGCCUGUGCAACUGUUUAUUCUCAUGCUUGAGCCAUCUAAUCUCCUGUUUGAGACUCAUCACUUCAGCCGCCAAUGAUUCAACUUGACGGGUUCGAGCAAAUAGGCGUUGGGCCAUAUUAGACACAUAACCUGCACACUGCACACUUAGAGCCAGAGAAUCCUUAACAGCCAACUCAUCAGACCGUUUGGCAAGUAGUCUGUUAUCUUUGGGAGUGACAAGGUUCCUGGCCACCACCGCAGCUGUCAAAUCAUUCUUCAUCACUGAAUCCCCAACGGUAAGAUGACCAGUAGGGAAUAUGAAGGAUGGGCGCCAUAUGUUGUCUGGAGAAGGCAGGGCUACCUCUUCACCAAGGUUCAAGUCAAAACGACGGUUGAAUGGGCCAGACAUUUUUAGAGGUGUUAAAGAAAGAAGAGGUCGGACAAGUCAAGAUCGUAGAAGUGCAAGAAUGGAGUUUCUACAGGCAGAAAUUCAAGUGUGCUUUGAACGUCCUGCGUACCUCUAUAAAAAUCAGCACUCGACGGGAUUUCAGAGAUCGAAGAGGCGAGCUAAGAAAUCGAAGAGGCCAACUCAAAAAUCGAAAAGGUGCUAGCUUUCUCAAAAGUUGGGCUUGCUUAGAAACCACGGCCAAUAUUUUUUUCCAGAUUUGUCCGCACUUGUCACAUGCAACCUCUGCACUCGACGGGAUUUCAGAGAUCGAAGAGGCAAGCUCAGAUAUCGGAGAGGCAUCUACUUUUCCAGACGUGUCAGCAUCUGUUACAUGCAGAGUCAGCUUUGCGAAAAUCACGGGCAGUUUGUCGAAGCGCCAAUUCCAAAUAUCGGAGAGGCAUCUGCUUUUCCAGACAUGUCAGCAUCUGUCACAUGCAGGGUCAGCUUUGCGGAAAUCACGGGCAGUUUGUCGAAACGCCGAUUCCAGAUAUCGAAGAGGCAUUUGCUUUUCCAGACGUGUCAGCAUUUCUCACAUGCAGAGUCAGCUUUGCGAAAAUCACGGGUAGUUUUUUGAAGCGCCGAUUCCAGAUAUUGAAGAGGCACUUGCUUUUCCAGACGUGUCAGCGUUUGUCACAUGCAUACUCAGCCUUACGAAAAUUACGGGCAAUCUGUCGAAGAUCUCUUGUGAAGUAGAAAGCACAUGAAGUUUACUAUUAAAUCAUCCAACGGUUGCUGACAAGAGUGAAAGAAUAGUACCGGUUAUUAAUUCCUAUAAAUGUCACCCUUCACCCUCCAUUGCAAGGCAGACAUACAUAACCCUUUUUCUUUUCCGAGAAUGCCUUUCCAACAAACCAUCUCGAGUCACUCAGUGUUCCUUAUUCCUUAGGGUACCUCUGCAAACAACUCAUCCAAAGCAAAAGUAUUUCAUAUCAUGAAAGUUGAAAGCAAGAGUAUUUCAUAUCAUGCUUUCUCCAUGUCCUUCUCCUUGUCGUUGUUUUGGGACAAAGAGAAAGAGAGCAAUCAGCCAGCACUUGGUAUCAAUCUUCCGAUCUAGAACCGACUGCCUGGAACCCCUUCCUGAUUGCUUACCUAGCCUUGCUUUCGAGUACUCAUCUUCAUCAUCUUAUGCUUCCUCUUCGUCUACCACAUCUGCCUGAGGAACAGAUAAGGGAAGUGAAAAUGAUACCUCGAAGCAUGUGGAGACAAUUUGCCAAUUCAUCAUCAGCUAGGGACAAGGAGAAAGAAAGCAAGAGGUGGGCACCUGGAAAGAUUGAAGAAAGAAACAGACCGACACCUCUACCUCUUGCCUGCCUGCAGUGCAGAAGAAACAAGCAGAGAAGAAUGCAGACUGCACAAUCAAAUCAACCCAGCAGAAGGAGUCUGAUUUGAAACCAAGGAACUCUCAUAUUCCUCGCUCAGAAUUCCAAAGCAGUUCGAGAUCAAAGCUGUGGAAAGUCGCCAAGAUCAUCUAUCUUCAAAACCAGAUUUGCGUUCUUAAACUCUACUCUGUCUGGGUUUUACUUUACCAUACUUGUCAUGUUUAUUCGUUGUUUGUUUGUUUGCUUGUUUUGUGUGAGUUUAUGCUUGAAACAUUGAGGACAAUGUUUGAUUUAAGUGUUGGGGGGGGUAACCAAGUUGUUUUGCAUGAAAUUUGUAGGAGUUUAUCACUCAUUACUUCUAGUGUUGUUCCUUGCUGUUUUUAAGCUAUUUAGGAGUGUUUUAGUGUGUUUUGACUUAAAAAUCCGAAAAUCUCAUAAAAAUUUGAAAAAAAAUUGUUUUGAAAAACCCAAAAAGAGUUGUUUUUUUGUGUUUAUUUGUGUGUUAGGGUACCUUCCAACACAAUGAUGAGGAUUUGGUUUUUAAUUACAUGAUUUUUAAAAGAGAGUUAUAAACAUGGAUGAAAAUUGAUUUACUCUUUGGUGUAUGCUUGGUUGUGGUUAUAAUUUAUGAAUUCACAUGCAAUCAUAAAGGAAAAAUCAGUUUUUGUAACAUGCUUGAAGGAAGGAACUCAAAUGAACACUACAACCUUGUGAGACUUGAGCCUAAACAUUUAUUCGGAGAGUUAAUAAUUUGUGCAUCAUUGUUUUCUAAAGUCGUUGCAUGAUCUCAUUAUUCUUUGCUUGGUUGCUACUUAGAAGGCGUUUCAUCAUUUAGUUCCAAAUGCUAGAACUCAUGCCUAUUUCAUUCAAAGCAUGCUAUUGAUUUGCAUAACACAUAUUCAAGAUGAAGUUGUGUAGUGACCACCAAAGCCAAAUUGCUGUGCCCUUAUUUCAUUAUGUGUUUAAGUUUAACCCCGUUGAGCCUUGUGUUGCCUAUGUUCUUUGUUACCCACACUAUCCUCACCUAGCCUAGAUUAGGACCAUCCAUACCCUUGUUCUUGAAGCAUAGUAAAGCAUAAUUUAGAAGGAAUUCCUUUUGUUGAACUUUUGCAGAAAAACAAGUGUGGGGGAAGUGAUUCUUGUGUGUGUGUGUGCCAAAGUCCUUCAUAAGGCACGGGUAGAAAAGGAAAAGGAAAAGAAAAAGAGAAAGAAAAAUUGGUGGAAAAUAGAAUGAAAAGAAGAAAAGUUGUGAAAAGAGUUGAAAAAUUUAUGAGAAAGAGCUCUAAAGUGUUGUUUGUUGAAGAAAGGGUCCAAAGCAUUGAAUUCGACCCUAAGUGUUGCAUGAAUCUUCCCUUUGUGUUUAAAAGUUGAUUUUUGGAUUCUAAAGUAAAUUCCAAGUGUCGAUUCCAUUACUUUGCUUGCUAUCACUUUAAGAACGUUUGUUAUUCCUAUCCUUUCUUUGUAAGCCAUUACCCCCAAGCCUUGUUACAACCCUUGACUUCAAUCUUGAGUGUUGUGUGUUUCAAUUUGUGGAGUUUGAAAUUGAUAUGAGCAUAUGGUGUCACUGGUUCUCGCAUCUAAGUAGUAGCAUUCCAUUCAUGAGAUCAUAUAUAUACAUGAAUUAAUAAUUCCAGAUAUUGCUUCUUUGUUGAAAAACAUAUGUGAGUACUAGUUUUCAUGUUUACAUCAAUCUUCUCACAUAUACCUAGUAUAGGGAGUGUAGUCAGAAAUUCUUAUGUGAAAAUAAGAGUGUAUCUAGUAAGGAAUUGAGGAAAUUCUCUAAAGCAUGUUACUAUAUUCAAAAUGUUGUUUUAAUUGAUUAAAUGUGAGCUAGUGAAUGGUGACUAUGAUUAAGUAUGCUUGAGGGUAAGGAAUGCUUAAAUCUAUGUAAGUGGUGAUCUUUGGCAUGUCAUGUUUCAUUGAAAAUCACUGAGGCAAAUGUUGGAAGGUUAGGUUGUGUUUUGUUUGUUUUGUUUGUUUUGUUUCGUUUUGUUUCUUUUGUUUUGCUCGAGGACUAGCAAAAGCUAAGUGUGGGAGAAUUUGAUAGGAGCAUAUUUAUGCAACUUAGUUAGCUUGUUUCUUGGCAUUUACUUUAAGCUAUUUUCGUGUGUUUGUAGGUUCAAAUAACAAAGUUAGUGACAAAGUGCUAUUUGGAGCAUUUUUGGGCCAAGAUUGGAUAGUGCAAGCAUGGAGACAUGAGGAUGGACGUUUUUGAAGAUUUGAAGGCUAGAAAUUAGCAUGUUUGUGUGCAAGUGUGUUGACCUACAAUUAUCAAACAUUCAUCCACUACACCCAUUACAUCCACUCAUUACCAAACACUCACCCACUACACACAUUACAUCCACUCAUUACCAAAUAUUCACCCACUACACCCAUUACAUCCACUCAUUACCAAACAUUCAUCCACUACACCUAUUACAUCCACUCAUUACCAAACAUCCAUCCACUACACCCAUUACAUCCACUCAUUACCAAACACUCACCCACUCAUUACCAAACACUCACCCACUACACCCAUUACAUCCACUCAUUACCAAACAUCCACCCACUACACCCAUUACAUCCACUCAUUACCACAACACUCACCCACUACACCCAUUACAUCCACUCAUUACAACUCCAUACACUUCUCUCCCUAGCCUAUAAAUACAUCCAUCCUUCACCAUAAUUUGGAGGGGAGAAAAAGAUCCAUCAAAAGACACUACAUUCACAUCUCACAACUCCAUACACUUACACUUUCAUUCCUUGGCCGAGAGAACACAAUCCACCCAUCCACCCUUCACCAUAACUCACCUAUAUCCAUCCACCACCAUAAUUUACCACUCAUCCAUCAAACCACACCUUGUGCCGCAACAAAGAGAAGAAUGAGGACCCUUGGACGUGCUUGCCAUUCAAGUUGGAUUGUUGGAGCGUUUUUAGGUGUUUUCAUUCUUUUGUUUUCAAUGUCUAAAUUUGUUUAUCUUUACUUUGUGAGUAUGAGGAACUAAACCCC
rnacentral:lncRNA from 1 species